rnacentral:lncRNA from 1 species
UGCCAUCUAGGAGUGUAAAUGCUCAAUGUCACACGGCUGAGAAAGUUUUGAAAAUCCUACCUCCCUACUUUCUAGCUGUCCUGGUUGUUGAAGCUCUACUUUAAUCCAGAAAGACUAUGGUUUUCUACUGAAGUUUUAAUUGUUCCAUGCGGCAUUGAUUUCAGGAAGCCUCACUGACCUAAGCCACUGAAACAAGAAAUUUACCCUUCUCCCAAGGUUUGUCUCUCUUUCAGAAUCUGUUGUCUUGUCAAAAAUUUUUUGAAUUUUUUUUAUUGGUUGGUUUGUUAUUUUUUCACCCAGAAUUUAUAGUUAUCUUUAGAACUGUUGGUUCAAUAGAAACUUAUUCUGUCUCAGAAAGAGAGACAAAUACCAUAUGAUAUCACUUACAUCUGGAAUCUAAUAUACGGCACAAAUGAACCUUUCCACAGAAAAGAAAAUCAUGGACUUGGAGAAUAGACUUGUGGUUGCCAAGCGGGGGAGGAGGAGGGAGUGGGGUGGAUGGGGAGCUUGGGGUUAAUGGAUGCAAACUACUGCCUUUGGAAUGGAUAAGCAAUGAGAGCCUGCUGUGUAGCACUGAGAACUAUGUCUAGUCACUUAUGAUGGAGCAUGAUAAUGUGCAAAAAUAGAAUGUGUACACGUAUAUGUAACUGGGUCACCAUGCUGUAUAGUAGAAAAAAAAAUUGUAUUGGGGAAAUAACAAUUUAAAAAAAUUUUAAAAAAUUAAGUGCUAUUAAAAAAGCAAAGAAAAGAAAGAAAAAGAAAAAAGAAAAAAAACCUUUCCACCCGGAAGUCUACAUCCAGCAAAAUACUCUUUAUAAUUAUGCUAGUCCACUCAAGCUAUCAUAACAAAAUACCACAGACUUGAUGUUUUAAACAAUAGAAAAUUAUUGACCUUUAGUUCUGGAAGCUGGAAAUAACCUCACAACUUCUACCACCAAAAUACAAUCAGAAGAGGCUACUGUGAACAUUUAUAUACCAAUAAAUUGAAUCACCUAGGAGAAAUGGGUACAUUCCUACAAACAUGAAACUUAUGAUUCAAGACUGUAUCAUGAAGAAAUUGAAAAACUGAAAAGACCAGUAAUGAUCAAGAAGUUUGAAUCAGUAAUGAAAAAUUUCCCCCAAAAACCUAAAUGCCUGGGACCAGAUGACUUCCCUGGUGAAUUCUACCAAACAUUUAAAGAAGAAUUAAUGUCAAUCCUUCUAAAACUCUCCCAGAAGAUGAAAGAGGAAUGAACACUUCCAAACUCAUUUUCGGAGGUUAGAAUUACCUUGAUCCUAAAGUCAUAAGGACAUAACCAGAAAAUAAAAUUACAGGCCAAUAUACAUGGUAAACAGAAAUGCAAAAAUCUCAGCAAAAUACUGGCAAACCAAAUUCAAGAGCACAUUAAAAAGAUUACACCAUGAUCAUGUGAGAUUUAUCCUUGGGGUGCAAAAAUGGUUCAACAUACACAAAUCAAUACACUUGUUACACCAUAUUAAUUGAAUGAAAGAUGAAACACAUAUUGUCAUCUCAAUAGAUUCAGAAAAGGCCCUUGAUAAAAUUAGACAUCCUUCCAUGAUCAAAAUUCUCAACAAAUUAAUAUAUAAGACAUGUAUCCGGAAAAAUAAAGGCCGUAUAUGACAAAUUUAUAGCCGCCAUUAUAUUAAGCAGUGAAAAGCUACAAGCUUUUCCUCUCGGUCAAGAAAGAGACAAGGAUACCUGCUCUCACAGCUUCUUUUCACCAUAGUACUGACUGGAAGUCCUAGCCAGAGGAUUUAGGUAAGAAAAAGCAUCUAAACUGGAAAGGAAGAAUUUAAAUUGUCUGUUUGCAGAUGACAUAAUAUUAUAUACAAAAAAAAUUUAAAGACUCUACCAAAAAUAGUUUGAAGUAGUAACCAAAUUCAAUAAAGUUGCAGGAUACAAAAUGAACAUAUAAAAAUCAGUUGUUUCUAUACACUAUCAGAAAGGGAAAUUAGGAAAGCAAUCCCAUUUACAACAGCACCCAAAAUAAUAAAAUGUUAGGAAUAAGUUAGACCAGGGAAGUGAAAGAUCUGUACACUGAAAACAAUAAGGUUAUGAUAAAAUAAAGGAGAAAUAAAUAAAUGGAAAGAUACUCUGUGUUUAUAGAUUAGAAGAGUUAAUAUUGUUCAGUUGUCCAUACAACCCAAAGCAAGACAAUGCAAAAUCCAAAUGGAAAGAAAAAUCCUAAAAUAUGUAUAGAAUCACAAAAGACCUUGAGUGGCCAAAGCUAUCUUGAGAAAAGAACAAUAAAGUUGGAGGCAUCAUGUAUUCUAAUUAUAAACUAUAUGACAGAGCUAUAUAAUCAAAAUGAUAUGGUUCUGUCAUAAAACUUGACUCACAGAACAAUGAAUAGAAUAGGCAGCCCAGAAGCAACCCCCCCAUAUAUAUGUUCAAUUAAUUUUUGGCAGUGAUGUCAAAAAUACACACUGGGGAAAGAUAGUAUUUUCAAUAAAUGGUGUUGGUGAAACUUGACAACCACAUGGCAAAUGAACUCACCCCUUCUCUUUGACCUUGCACAAAAAAACAACAACUAAACUGAACUAAAUACAUAAAUGUUAUACCUGAAACUGUAAGACUCCUAGAAAAAAAUGUAUAGAGUAAGCUCUUUGACAUUGGUAUCAGCAAUGUCAUUUUUGGAAAUGACACCAAAAGCACCGGCGGUGAAAGCAACAAUCAACAAGUGGAACUUUACAAAACCAAAAAGCUUCUGCACAAUAAAAUUAACAGUGAACAAAAUGAAAGGGUAACCUGCAGAAUGGGAAACAUAUUUGCAAGUCAUACAUCUGGUAAUAGGUUAAUAUCCGAAGUAUAUAAGAAACAAACAAUUUAGUAGCAAAAAAAGAAAAUAAGCCAAUCAAAAAGGGGGGAGCAAAGGAAGUUAAUAGACAUUUCUCAAAAGACAUAGAGCUAUUUGAAAAAGUCAUCACUAAUGAUCAAGGAAAUGCAAAUAGAACCCACAAUGAGAUAUCUACCUCACACUUGUUAGAAUGGCUAUUAUGAAAAAUAUAAAAGACUACCAAGAGUUGGUGAGGAUGUAGAGACAAGGGAACCCAAGCGCAUUGUUAAAAGGAAUGUAAAUUACAGCCAUGUGGAAAACAGAAUGCAAUUUCUUACAAAUUGAAAAUAUAACUACCAUAUGACCAAACAAUGCCACUACUGAGUAUGUAUCCAAAGGAAAUGAAAGCUGAGAUCUCUGCACACCUGUGCUCAAUGCGGCAUUAAUCAUAAUAGCCAAGAUGUGGAAAGAAGCUCAAGUAUGUAUUAGUGGCUAAGUGGAUAAAGAAAGGGAUGAUGUAUCUUUAUGGAUAUACCAAGGAAUUUUUACAGCCCUAAAAAAGAAGGAAGUUCUUAUAUCUGUGACAUUGUAAAUGAAUUUAUAGGACAUUGCGCUGAAUGAAAAGAACAUAUAAAGAAAGAUAAAUAUUGCAUAAGAUCACUAACAUGUGAAAUCCUAAAAAGUUGACCAUAGAUACACAGUAGAAUGUUAGCUGCUAGGAGAGUGAAGGAAAUGGGGAGAUGUUGGUCAAAGGGCAUAUACUCUCAGGUACAAGACGAACAUGUCUAAAGAUCAAAUGUACAUAUGUACAAAUGCAUAAUGAUAGUUCCUAAAAAUGUAUACUUGUAAUUUGCUAAGAGAAUAGAUCAUAAGUGCUCUUACCACAAAAACUGUAAAUAUGUCAAGUGUUGGAUAUGUUAAUUAGUUUGGUUGUGGUAAUCAUUACACAAGGAUAUUUAUAUCCAAACACUGGGGUGUAUGCCUUAAAUAUAUACCAAUUUUGGGUUGUCUGUUAUCCCUCAAUAAAGCUUGGGAAAAGAAGAAUUAAAAUAUAAACCCUCCGCAAACUUUCAGAUCUCAGACGUAUGUAGUUCUAGUGGUAGAUUGCAGGGAGAGAAGGGACGUUGUGAUGGAAAAUUACAAGUCGGGGUCAUCUUCACAGUGAUCAUUGCAUCAUGUAGACCCAAAAUAAACUUCGCGUCCAUUCCCACUCCUAACAUAAACACAGUUUUAGAGCCAAAACAAGUAACAUAUACAUGCUCUUUGUCUAAAAAGGACCUCUCAUUUUAAAACAAGCUGAACUAAUGAAACUUAAACUAGUAUUUUAUUCAAAAAAUUAUGUGGCAUAUUUUUUUAUCUUCAUGUAUACUUUAUUUUUAUAAACAUAUAUAAUGAUUUUUAUUUUUUCCAUUAUAACUGGUUUACAGUGUUCUGUCAGUUUUUUACUGUACAGCAUGGUGGCCCAGUUACACAUACAUGUAUAGAUUCUUUUUUCUCACAUUAUCAUGCUCCAUCAUAAGUGACUAGACAUGGUUCCCAGUGCUAUACAGCAGGAUCUCAUUGCUUAUCCAUUCCAAAGGCCAUGUGGCAUAUUUUGAAGUGACCACCAUAUAUCAGACACUAUUCUAAGUCCUAAAAAUCCAAAUGAAAGCAAAACUGACAUUCAUUGUCCUAUGAAGCUUAAAACUAGUAAGAAGAGAUAGGUAAUAAACCAGAAAAAAAGUAAUAAUUUAAAAACCAUGGGUUAUAUAUUGUGAAGUGAUGAGGCAAUAACACAAAGUCUUCUUAUUUUUUUUUUAAUGUGGUGGAAAGUUAUGAGAUAAGCAAACACUUCUACAAUACUCAGUGUGUGCCAGGUACUAUUCUCAGCACUUUAUAUGCAUAUUUGAUCUCUUACACAAAGUAUGUGAAGGAGCAAGUUGAGGCAAAAUUUUGGAGAAAAGAUUCCAAAUUCAGGGAGCAGCAAGGGCAAAGAGUCAAAGACAGAAAGGACAUUAGCAUGUUUAAAGAACUAGAAGAGAAUGUGGUAGGAGCUGGAUUACAUGGGAACUUGCAGGGUGUAAUGAGGAAUUUGGACUGCAUUUUAAGUACAAUGAGAAACAAGGAGAGAGUUUUAAGCAAAGGAGUGAUAUAAUUGGAUUUACAUAAAAAAAUCAAUCUGAGCACUUGGAAAGAAUGUAUUAAAGGAAAAUAGGAGUGAAAUCAUUGUAAUGAGUCAGGAGGCUAUUGCUUUGGUCCAAACAGUAAAAGAUAGUUGCUUGGAAUAGGAUGGUUGUGGUGGAAUUUCAGGCUGAUUAGGAUCUGUUUCUUCUCUGAACUCUCAUAAAAUUUUGUUUAUAUCCCUGCUUUGUGCUAUAAUAAUCCUGUACUUCAAUUUUAGACUCUUUUGGUAGCAGGGAAGAAAUCUUACUCAUCUCUCUCUCUCUCUUUUUUUUUUUUUUUUUUUUUUUCCUUCCCUGAUUGUGGGGCCCUUUCUAGAGAGCAGGUAGUCAGUGAUUAUUUUAUUUAAUUAAAGUGAGCAAAAUUACCAUAUUCUUUUUGUGUACCUGUACUUUAACAUAAUGUAUUUGGAUAACAAAAAUUCAGGACAAAAACACUUAUGUUUUAAGCUUUAGAUUGUAUAAGCUUUUUAAAAAAUUGGCUCGAUUUUUUUUCCCUCUUAUAAUACUGCCAAGUGUGAAGUUUAAAUCUACUUUUGCAUUAAAGCGGUAGAAGUAAAGCUUUUUUAAAGGAGGAAAAAAAUAUUUUUGCUGUCUCAUAAUUCAAAAAUAACUGAGCUAAUUUAAUUUAUUCUUCCAAAAGUGGGGGUGUUGGGAGAGAAAUGGUAGCGACAGAAAGUGGAACAAAUGGAAAACAACAUCUCUCCUGAGACUAAUGCUGCAAAGUUUCAAAUCCAAACAAAUUUCUUGGGAUGUUGUCAACAAAUAAAGAUAGAAGUUGACAUGAAAAUUCCUUUCACCUUUGAAGAUGAGUUUCCACUGUUUGACAUCAAAGGUCCUAAAUUGAGAUAAUUUUUUUGAAAGGAAGAUCAUUUAGGAAAACAGUGCUUAAGACUUACGAAUAUAUCUAAUAUGUCUUUGGCAAGAAAAAAUUGCGAGAGCAUAUGUGAACAUAGAAAUGUAACAGAAGAGGUUGAAUUUAAUGAUCUCAAUUGGUGCUUGUUUUUUCUUCUCUACUGAUUAUAACUUCUCAUGUUUCCUAUCCCCCUUCCAAUAAACCUAUCAUAUUCAAUACCGUGAUUGUCCUCUACGAUAAGUAUCAAUCACUCCUUUACCACACAUGCUCAAAAACAGAAGAAAAAAAAAAAA